rnacentral:misc_RNA from 1 species
AACGCACAUUGCGCCCGUUAGUAUUCUGACGGGCAUGCCUGUCCGAGCGUCAUUUCAACCCUUAAGCCCAGCUUAGCGUUGGCGGACUACGGCGCCCCCAGGGGCACUGUAGCCGCCCAAAUCCAUUGGCGGUCCCGCCGCGGCUCCCUUGCGUAGUAGCUCAACCUCGCACCGGGCCCGGGCGGCGACCUCGCCGUAAAACCCCCACUAUAACAAGGUUGACCUCGGAUCAGGUAGGAAUACCCGCUGAACUUAA